rnacentral:lncRNA from 1 species
GGAGGAAGAGGAGGGUGCGGGCACCGUGCCGGAAGGAGGGUGCUGCCGACAGGUUGUGCAGGUUUGGGGGGGAGAUUUUGGGUGGUGCAGGCGGUUGCUGGGUGCCGCGGGCGUCGCGUGCUCCUGCCACCUCCCUGCAUGGGGCAGCCCCGGUGCCCGCAAACUCUGGAGGGCCGUGGCAGGGGCCGGACGCAGCCGUGCCCAGGGCUGGUGCCGCGAUGCCAUCGCACGGUGACGGCCCCCGUGGGCACAGCUGCUGGGGGUUGAAUCGGAACUGAAGUUUGGGGCAGGAUCUGCGUUAACCAGAGCCUGGGCAGGUGCUGACUUGAGGCUGCUCUAGGCUGAAGAACAACCCCUGUGCCGCAGGGGAACUUCCUGAAAUUAUUUUCUCCGUGCAAACGGGGCUCGGCAGCUGCUCAGCCGUUCGGAAAAGGGCACCCGGAGCUGCUCGGUCUGCCUGAGGCACCCACGAGUGAAGGUCCAGUUUGUUCCUAGAAGUGCCAGCAUGGAUGACCGUGACCCAGCCUCAGGCUGCCUACACGAGAAAAAGAGGCUGCCAGCUUUCACCUGGGAAGUGAGGGCCAACAACAGAAGCUACCAUAUGCAGUUCAAGAAGAAAUUUGCCUUCUGCUUGACCAAGAAGAAGUAUGCGGGCAAUGCCAUUAAGACAGCCAAGUACAACAUCCUGACCUUCCUGCCGCUGAACCUUUAUGAGCAGUUCCACCGAAUGGCCAACGUGUACUUUGUCUUUGUCAUCCUCUUACAGAAAUGGUGUGACAUCUGCGUUGGGGACAUCGUCCGCCUGCGCAAGGAAAGCUUCGUCCCGGCCGACAUGCUCUUGCUGUGCAGCUCUGAGCCCAGCAGCCUGUGCUACGUGGAGACCGCCGACAUCGAUGGGGAAACGAACCUGAAGUUCAGGCAGGCCCUUCCAGUCACCCACCGGGAGCUGACGAGCGAGGGCAGCGUGGCCGCCUUUGACGGUGAGGUGACCUGUGAGGAGCCCAACAGUCGCAUGCACAGCUUCACCGGCACGCUGCAGUGGCGGGGCGAGACGUACUCGCUUGACAGUGAAAGGAUCUUGCUGCGAGGCUGCAAGCUUCGCAACACCGACUUUUGCUAUGGCUUAGUCAUCUACGCAGGAUUUGAUUCCAAAAUUAUGAGGAACUGUGGAAAGAUCAAGCGGAAGAAAACCAAGCUGGACCGCAUGAUGGACCGGCUGGUGAUCAUAAUCUUCCUGGUGCUGUUGGCCAUGUCAUUGUGCCUCGCCAUUGCCUCCGGGUUCUGGGCCAAGACGUUCCAGGAGAAGCACACCUACCUCUCUGCUCUCUACAAACACACUGCUCCUGCCAAGCAGGCCUUCUUCAGCUUCUGGGGCUUCGCAAUCCUCCUGAGCAUCAUCAUACCCAUGUCCAUGUAUAUAACGCUUGAAUUCAUCUAUCUGGUGAACAGCUUCUUUAUCAACUGGGACUUGGAAAUGUAUUAUGCUGUCAAGGACAUUCCAGCAAAGGCCAGAAGCACCAGCCUCAAUGACCAGCUUGGCCAGAUUGAAUACAUCUUCUCAGACAAGACUGGCACCUUGACACAAAAUAUUAUGACCUUCAAGAAAUGCUGCAUUAAUGGGACUGUCUACGGUAACUUUUAUUGCCACCGUGGGGAGAAGACGUCGGACUCCAACGAUGUGGCACUACUGGAAGCUGCUCGGCGAGACAGUGACCCUGUGCUGAGGGAGUUCCUGCGGCUGCUGGCCCUCUGCCACACAGUCAUGGUGGAGGAGAGGGGCGACCAGCUGGUUUAUCAGGCGGCUUCACCGGAUGAAGAAGCACUGGUGCUGGCAGCCAGGGACUUGGGGUAUGUCUUUCUAUCCCGAACACAAGACACCAUCACCAUCAGUGAGCUGGGACUGAAGAGGACCUACGAAGUGCUGGCCAUGCUGGACUUCAACAGUGAUCGCAAGAGGAUGUCUGUCCUGGUGCGAGACCCCCAGGGCACAAUCCGGCUCUACACCAAGGGGGCUGACACCGUGAUCCUGGAGAGACUGCGCAGCCGAGGGCCCAGUGAGACCUUCACUGAGAGGGCGCUGGACCGCUUUGCAGAGGAGACCCUGAGGACUUUAUGCCUGGCCAGCAAGGUGGUGAGUGAGGCUGAGUACUGCGAGUGGAGCCAGAGGCACCAGGAGGCCAGCAUCCUGUUGCAGGACCGUGUGUGGCAGCUGGACAGCCUGUACGAAGAGAUGGAGCAGAACCUGGAGCUGCUUGGUGUCACAGCCAUUGAGGACAAGUUGCAAGACGGAGUUCCUGAGACCAUCCAGCUGCUGAAACUGGGCAACAUUAAAGUGUGGGUGCUGACGGGAGACAAACAAGAGACAGCAAUGAACAUCGGCUAUGCGUGCAAACUGCUCACAGAUGACAUGGAGAUCCUGGAGGAGAAGGAAAGCCCUUGGGCCCCAUCCCUCUGUGCUGGCCACGGCAGGAGGCCCCAACCACGUGUGCUCUCUCCUAAGGACAAAAUCCUUCACACGGGAGAGGUGCUGAUGAAGAAGGAGGGGUGGCUGUGGCAGUGGCUGCCUUGCCGUGGGGCCACGGACCCGCAGGAGCGAGGCAGCCUGGUGGAGAAGGCCUUCGUGGACCUGGCCACCAGCUGCCAGGCUGUGAUCUGCUGCAGGGUCACCCCCAAGCAGAAGGCCCUCAUCGUGCAGCUGGUGAAGAAGCACAAGAAGGCCACCACGCUGGCCAUCGGGGAUGGGGCCAACGAUGUCAACAUGAUCAAAACUGCUGACAUUGGGGUGGGCAUCAGCGGGCUGGAGGGCAUGCAAGCCGUGCAGUGCAGCGACUACGCCCUGGCGCAGUUCUCCUACCUGCAGCGCCUCCUGCUCGUCCACGGCCGCUGGGCCUAUCUCCGCAUCUGCAAGUUCCUCCGCUACUUCUUCUACAAGACUUUUGCCGGUCUCAUGGCCCAGGUCUGGUUCGCUUUCCACAGCGGAUUCACGGCUCAGCCUCUGUAUGAGGGCUGGUUCCUUGCACUCUACAACGUCUUCUACACUGCCCACCCCGUGCUUUCUGUGGGCCUUCUGGAGCAGGAUGUGAGUGCCAAGAAGAGCCUGGAGUUCCCUGAGCUCUAUGCCAUCGGGCAGCAAGACGAGCUCUUCAACUACCGCAUCUUUGGCGUGACGCUCCUGCAUGGUGUCAGCACCUCACUUGCCAGCUUCUAUAUCGCACUCUGGGCCUUCAAGGACUGUGUUGGCAGCAAAGUCGUGGGUGACUACGAGUCCUUUUCCAUCACGGUGGCCACCUCGGCUUUGCUGUCAGUCCUCGUGGAGGUGAGCACCGGUCUGCCCUUCCCUAUGCUGAUCUCUGAUGCCAGCCAGAACGCCCUGACAGAUCCCUACGUCCUGCUCGUGGUCCUGCUGUCCCUGGUGGAGGUGCCCACAGCCCUGAUGUCCCCUUUCUCCUUGCAGAAGAUCUGCUCAAAGGCCAGGCGUGAGCCGGAGCCCUCAGUGGAGCUGCGUGCCCAUGUCCACCGUGGCUCUUUCCGCCGCCGCUCCAGCUACGCCUUCUCCCACCAGGAGGGCUACGCCGGCCUCAUCACCCGCGGGGACAGCCUGCGCACCAAGGGCACCCGUGCCACCGGGGGUCUCCAUCCCUAG